rnacentral:rRNA from 1 species
UGGGGAAUAUUGCACAAUGGGCGCAAGCCUGAUGCAGCCAUGCCGCGUGUAUGAAGAAGGCCUUCGGGUUGUAAAGUACUUUCAGCAGGGAGGAAGGCGAUAAGGUUAAUAACCUUGUCGAUUGACGUUACCCGCAGAAGAAGCACCGGCUAACUCCGUGCCAGCAGCCGCGGUAAUACGGAGGGUGCAAGCGUUAAUCGGAAUUACUGGGCGUAAAGCGCACGCAGGCGGUCUGUCAAGUCGGAUGUGAAAUCCCCGGGCUCAACCUGGGAACUGCAUUCGAAACUGGCAGGCUAGAGUCUUGUAGAGGGGGGUAGAAUUCCAGGUGUAGCGGUGAAAUGCGUAGAGAUCUGGAGGAAUACCGGUGGCGAAGGCGGCCCCCUGGACAAAGACUGACGCUCAGGUGCGAAAGCGUGGGGAGCAAACA